UACGAGGGGAGCAAGCGUUGUUCGGAUUUACUGGGCGUAAAGGGCGCGUAGGCGGUCGUGACAAGUCACUUGUGAAAUCUCCGGGCUUAACUCGGAACGGUCAAGUGAUACUGUCGGACUAGAGUACAGAAGGGGCAACUGGAAUUCUCGGUGUAGCGGUGAAAUGCGUAGAUAUCGAGAGGAACACCUGCGGCGAAGGCGGGUUGCUGGGCUGAUACUGACGCUGAUGCGCGAAAGCGUGGGGAGCAAACGGG
rnacentral:rRNA from 1 species